rfam:Oryza sativa (indica cultivar-group) chromosome 2, whole genome shotgun sequence.
AAUAAGUGCAGUUUUACACUAUUCAUCUUCAAUAUUUGACCGUUUGUCUUUUGUGAAAAAAUUUUAUGAUUACUAUUUUUAUUGUUAUUAGAUGAUAAAAUAUGAAUAGUACUUUAUGUGUGACUAUUUUUAAAAAAAAAUCAUAAAUUUUUCAAAUAAGACGGAUGAUCAAACGUUGGACACGGAUUUCCACGGCUGCACUUAUU